UGGUCUUGCUGCAUCCUAAGGGCCAAGUCUGGAUCUAAGAUGAAUUUGCUACCCGUUGAAGGAAGACUGACUCAGUGUUGGUGAGAUAUCACCUGUAUUCUGGGAAGUUCUGCGUGUCCUGGCGCCCAUAUUCCAUGCUGGGAGAUCUUUCUGAGAACAUGGACCUUUCAGCCCCUACUCAGCAGCAGCAACAAGCAGUUGGAACUCCAGAACAGCUGUACCUCAAGCCUGAUGUGACUCAGAAGAGUGGUGCAUGCAAUGAAGGAGGCCUCUUAGGGCAUAAUGACUAGCUUUAUGUAUCCCCCUGCCUGGGUAGCCAGACCUGGGUGUUCUAACUGGACCUUGAGGCUGCUGCACUGGUGAACAUGAGAGGCUGAAAUAAAGCAUGAACUCAGUC